GUGAGAUGACAACAGCAGGAAAGAGACCGUGGAGCAGAGAUGUCUCCUCCUGUGAGCUUUUGCAGGAACCACUUCCCCCACCACUGGCCUCAUGUGAUAGGAAAAGAAAUUGGUGUCCUUCCCAGGCCAGCUGGAUCAAACGCUUCCUCAAUUCAAAACUUCAGUUUUCCCUUCAACGUCUACCACCUCCCCACAAAACCCACUCUGGAGAAAGUACACACAAAGCAGAGUUCAACCCGUCCCUUCAUAUGUACGAACAGCCCUUGCAACCACCACACUGAGACCGGAAGCGCACGACGUGGAUACAUGCGCACACCCCACCAAGCCUGAACUUCUUGGAACACAACUGUGGCCAUUGGAAUAGUCUCAGUAUUCUCUCUGGUGUAUGCUUUUAUAAAGUGAUUUAUAAGCCAAGCCCAGUGGCGCUCAACAGCAGUCCCAGCACUCAGGAGGCUGUGGCAGGAGAACCAGGAGUUGGAAGCUAGCCUGGGCUAAAUAGUGAGAGAGAUAAAGGCAUCAAUGGACAGGCUAACAGGGAAGGGGUAAAUUUCAAGGGUUGCAACCCUAUGCCAAGAACCAUGGACAGCUGUGAAAUGCAGAGAGCAGGAGAAAUAGUCUUGCAAUACAAGUGGUCAACCCCGAGAUCGCAUACAUGUGGGUAACAUAAUAUUCACUGAGCACGUGUAUAUGUGUAACAAAAAGUAAGAAAAG
rnacentral:lncRNA from 1 species